CACCUGCUGGAAAAAAAAUAAAAGAGUUGCGGCUGAGGGGCGGUAGAGUUGCAGUCCUCUGAGCAGCGGGAGUCCACAGAUCCGAGAGGACGCGAGAUUCACCCUUCCAGGCUAGCGGAGCCCCAGCCGUCACCAACCCGACUUUGGCUGCCUUGAACACGGAUACGACCCUGAGACGCUUUCAUCUCCAGUGCCUCAAUAAACGGUGGCCAUGAGUGACGCAGACAAGUUCCUGUAUGGGGACCGCAGCGGUAUAAGCGACCCGCUAGCUCAGGCCGACUGGGCUAGCAAAAAGCAAGUAUGGGUUCCUUCAGAGAGGCUGGGCUUUGAGGCCGGCUCCGUCAAGGAGGAGCUCGGCGAGGAAUGCGUGGUGGAGCUGAGCGACUCGGGCAAAAAGGUAAAAAUCAACAAGGACGACAUCCAGAAGAUGAACCCGCCCAAGUUCAACAAGGUGGAGGACAUGGCCGAGCUCACCUGCCUCAACGAGGCCUCAGUGCUACACAACCUCAAAGAACGAUAUUAUUCCGGACUCAUCUAUACGUACUCAGGCCUCUUCUGCGUCGUGGUUAACCCAUACAAGCACCUGCCCAUCUACUCAGAGGAAAUCAUCAACAUGUAUAAGGGAAAGAAGAGGCAUGAGAUGCCACCUCACAUUUACGCCAUCACUGACACGGCCUACAGGAGCAUGAUGCAGGAUCGUGAGGAUCAGUCCAUCCUUUGCACUGGCGAGUCUGGAGCUGGCAAAACUGAGAAUACUAAGAAGGUCAUUCAGUAUCUGGCCCACGUCGCUUCAUCUUCCAAGUCCAAGAAGGAUCAGGGGGAGCUGGAAAAGCAGCUACUACAGGCUAACCCCAUUCUGGAGGCCUUUGGUAAUGCCAAGACCGUCAAGAAUGACAACUCCUCUAGAUUUGGAAAAUUUAUCAGGAUCAACUUUGAUGUGAAUGGAUAUAUCGUUGGAGCCAACAUCGAAACUUACCUGCUGGAAAAGUCUCGGGCUAUCAGACAAGCCCAAGAAGAGAGAAGCUUCCAUAUUUUCUACUACCUGUUGACUGGCGCAGGAGACAAGCUACGCUCUGAGUUAUGUCUGGAAGACUACAGCAAGUACCGCUUCCUGUCUAACGGCAACGUGACAAUUCCUGGACAGCAGGACAAGGACAUGUUCUUAGAAACCACGGAUGCCUUCCAAAUCAUGAGCAUCCCAGAAGAGGAAAGAAUUGGCCUGUUGAAGGUGGUCUCCGCUGUGCUACAGUUGGGGAACAUGACUUUCAAAAAAGAGCGCCACUCUGACCAGGCAUCAAUGCCGGAUGACACCGCCGCACAGAAAGUGUCUCACCUACUCGGCAUCAAUGUGACCGACUUCACUAGAGCCAUCUUGUCACCGCGAAUCAAGGUGGGACGUGAUUAUGUUCAGAAAGCUCAGACCCAGGAGCAGGCUGAAUUUGCUGUGGAGGCCUUGGCCAAGGCGUCAUACGAGAGGAUGUUCCGCUGGUUGGUGAUGAGGAUCAACAAAGCAUUGGACAAGACCAAGAGGCAAGGCGCCUCCUUUAUUGGCAUCCUGGACAUUGCCGGAUUUGAGAUCUUUGAGUUGAACUCAUUUGAGCAGCUGUGCAUCAACUACACUAACGAGAAGCUGCAGCAGCUCUUCAACCACACCAUGUUCGUUCUGGAGCAGGAAGAGUACCAGAGAGAGGGCAUAGAUUGGAGCUUCAUCGACUUUGGCCUUGACCUGCAACCUUGCAUUGACCUCAUUGAGAAACACUCUGGACCUCCUGGCAUUUUGUCUCUGCUGGAUGAGGAGUGCUGGUUCCCCAAGGCCACUGACAAGAGCUUUGUGGAGAAGGUGGUUCAGGAGCAAGGAACACACCCCAAGUUCCAGAAACCCAAGAUGCUCAAAGAUGACGCUGACUUCUGCGUUAUCCACUAUGCUGGGAAGGUGGACUACAAAGCGGACGCAUGGCUAAUGAAAAACAUGGAUCCUCUGAAUGAGUGUGUGGCCACGUUGCUUAACCAGUCCACUGACAAGUUUACGGCUGACCUGUGGAGAGAUGUCGAUCGUAUUGUGGGCCUCGAUAAGGUGGCAGGAAUUUCGGACUCCAUGCAUGGUGCAUUUAAAACCCGGAAAGGCAUGUUUCGCACGGUGGGCCAGUUAUACAAGGAGCAGCUGGGGAACCUGAUGACCACUCUCAGAAACACCAAUCCCAAUUUUGUCCGCUGCAUCAUACCCAAUCAUGAGAAGAAGGCUGGUAAACUGGAGCCUCACCUGGUUCUGGACCAGCUGAGGUGUAAUGGAGUCUUGGAGGGGAUCCGUAUCUGCAGACAGGGUUUCCCCAACCGCAUUGUCUUCCAGGAAUUCAGACAGAGGUAUGAAAUCCUCACUCCAAAUGCCAUCCCAAAGGGCUUUAUGGAUGGGAAGCAAGCCUGCGUGCUCAUGAUCAAGGCACUGGAGUUGGACCCCAACCUGUAUCGCAUCGGUCAGAGUAAAGUGUUCUUCAGAGCCGGCGUCCUGGCUCACCUGGAGGAGGAGAGAGACUUGAAGAUCACAGACGUCAUCAUCAGCUUCCAGGCCUGGUGCCGAGGAUACGUGGCCCGCAAAGCCUUCGCCAAGAGACAGCAACAGUUGACGGCUAUGAAAGUGAUCCAGAGGAACUGUGCUGCUUACCUCAAACUCAGGAAUUGGCAGUGGUGGAGACUUUUCACCAAGGUGAAGCCACUGCUACAAGUUAGUCGGCAGGAGGAGGAGAUGUUGGCCAAGGACGAGGAGCUGCAGAAGAUCAAAGAGAGGCAGUUGCAGGCUGAGGAACAGCUUCAACAAUAUGAGGGCAAGCUACACCAGCUGAACGCCGAUAAACUGGCACUCCAAGAGCAGCUCCAGGCCGAGACGGAACUGUGUGCAGAAGCCGAGGAAACCCGAGCCCGCUUUGCCACCCAGAAGCAGGAGCUGGAGGAGAUCCUCCACGACAUGGAAGCUCGCCUGGAAGAGGAGGAGGAGCGCAUUGAGCAGAUGCAGUCUGAAAGGAAGAAGAUGCAGCAGAACAUUAGUGAACUUGAGCAGCAACUGGAUGAGGAGGAAGCAACUAGACAGAAGCUUCAGAUGGAGAAGGUCACCACUGAUGCUAAACUGAAAAAAAUUGAGGAUGACAUGAUGGUGCUGGAUGACCAAAAUAACAAGCUCAACAAGGAGAAGAAACUUAUGGAGGAGAGGAUUUCAGAGUUCACAACCAACUUGGCUGAGGAGGAGGAAAAGUCGAAAAGCUUGCAGAAACUGAAGAAUAAACACGAGGCCAUGAUCACGGAUUUGGAGGAUCGUCUAAGAAAGGAGGAGAAAAUGCGUCAGGAGCUGGAGAAGAAUCGUCGUAAACUUGAAGGUGACUCAACAGACCUCAAUGACCAGAUUUCAGAACUUCAAGCCCGCAUUGCUGAACUUGAGGCUCAGCUAGCCAAGAAAGAGGAGGAGCUGCUGAAUGCACUGGCAAAGAUUGAAGAGGAAGCCGCCGCCAAGAAUACUGCCCAGAAGAAGAUUCGAGAACUGGAAGCUCAAAUCUCUGAGCUGCAGGAGGAUCUAGAGCUGGAGAGACAAGGGCGCAACAAAGCUGAGAAGCUGCGGAGGGAUCUGGGCGAGGAGUUGGAAGCUCUCAAGACUGAGUUGGAGGACACGUUGGACUCUACUGCAGUACAGCAGGAGCUCAGGUCCAAACGUGAGACGGAGGUUGCACAACUCAAGAAGACUUUAGAGGACGAGGCCAAGGCCAACGAGCAGCUGAUGGCCGACAUGAGACAGAAACACAACCAGGCUUUUGACGAGCUCAAUGAGCAGCUUGAACAAGCCAAACGGAACAAGAUGUCGGUGGAGAAAUCAAAGCAGGCACUAGAGAGCGAGUGGAACGAGGUGCAGAUCGAGCUGAAGACCCUGACGCAAAGCAAAUCCGAUUCCGAGCACCGUCGGAAGAAGGCAGAAGCCCAAGUUCAGGAGCUUCAGGUCAAAUUUGGUGACAGUGAGCGGCAGAGGCAGGAAAUGGCUGACAAGAUGGCCAAAAUGCAGUCUGAGCUGGACAAUGUCAACAGCCUACUGACUGAAGCAGAGGGCAAGAAUAUCAAAUCCAGCAAAGACCUUUCUUCAACAGAGUCUCAGCUGCAGGAUACACAGGAGCUGCUUCAAGAAGAGACUCGUCAGAAGCUUAACUUAUCAACACGCUUACGGCAGCAGGAGGAGGAGCAAAGCAACCUACGCGAGAUGCUGGAGGAAGAGGAGGAGGCCAAGAGGAACAUGGAAAAGCAGGUCUCCUCGCUUCAAGUCCAGUUGAGUGACAUGAAGAAGAAGUUGGAUCAGGAGCUGGCAAACGUGGAAAGCGCGGAGGAGGCUCGCAAGCGUGUCCAGCGUGACGCCGACUCGUUUCAGCAGCAGCUGGAAGAGAAGACGGCCGCCUACGACAAACUCGAGAAAACCAAAACCCGUUUGCAGCGGGAGCUGGAAGACCUCCUGGUGGAUCAGGACAACCUGAGACAGGUGGUCUCCAACCUGGAAAGGAAGCAGAAGAAGUUUGACCAGAUGCUGGCUGAGGAGAAGACAAUCUCCACGAAGUACGCCGAGGAGCGUGACAAGGCUGAAGCUGACGCCAGGGAGAAGGACACACGGGCGCUUACGCUGGCCCGCGAACUGGAGACCAUGAGCGAACUGAAGGAUGAGUUGGAUCGGGGCAACAAGUUGCUCAAAGCAGAGAUGAAUGACUUGGUCUCUUCCAAGGAUGAUGUGGGCAAAAGUGUUCACGAGCUGGAGCGGUCCAAGCGUGCCAUGGAGCAGCAACUGGAAGAGAUGAGGCUUCAGUUGGAGGAGCUAGAGGAUGAGCUGCAGUCCACUGAGGACGCCAAGCUGCGUCUGGAGGUCAACAUGCAGGCCAUGAAAGCCCAAUUUGAGCGGGACCUGCAAGCCAGAGAUGAGCAGGGCGAGGAAAGGAGGAAGCAGCUGGUCAAGCAGGUUUGUGGGAUGGAAGUGGAGCUGGAGGAUGAACGUAGGCAGCGCUCUCAGGCACUGUCCUCCAAGAAGAAGAUGGAGAUGGACCUGGCUGAUCUUGCAAACCAGAUCGAUGUCCUCAGCAAGAGCCGGGAUGAGGCUAACAAACAGCUCAAGAGGCUGCAGACCCAGAUGAAAGAGCAACUGCGAGAGCUCGAGGACGUGCGCAUGGCCAGAGAUGAAUCGGUCAGUGUGGCAAAGGAGAUUGAGAGGAAGCUGAAGGGCAUGGAAGCAGAUGCCCUGCGCUACCAGGAGGAUCUAGCCACUGCUGAGAGACUCAAGAGACAAAUCCAGAUGGAGAGAGAUGAGCUACAGGAGGAGAUUAACAACGGCAACACUAAAAAUUCUCUGCUGACUGAAGAAAAGAGGAGACUGGAGGCUCGCAUAUCCCAGUUGGAGGAAGAUCUGGAGGAGGAGCUGCUCAACACAGAGAUGGUCAACGAGCGUCUGAAGAGAACCACAUUACAGAUGGAGCAGCUGACUACAGAGCUUAGUUCACAGCACAGCAGUGUCCAGCUUCUGGAGGGCACUCGUUCCCAGCUGGACCGCCAGAACAAGGAGCUAAAGCUGAAGCUACAGGAGCUUGAAAGCACCAUCAAGUCCAAGUACAAGUCCUCCAUCGCCUCACUGGAGGCAAAGAUUGCUCAAUUGGAGGAGCAGCUCGAUAUCGAGUCAAAGGAGCGCCAGCAAGCUUCCCGGCUGGUUAGGCGAACGGAGAAGAAGCUGAAGGAGACAUUGCUGCAGGUUGAAGAUGAGCGGCGCUGCGCAGAGCAGUAUAAGGAUCAGGCAAGCCUCCGCGCGGCUUUCAGUAUGCCACCAGAUGAUGCUGUUUUUCUAGUAAUUUUUACAAAUUGUGGUGGUAUGUGCGCUUUCUGGUGGCACGCAGGGUAAAAACACUGGAGUUUCACUUUAAAAUGCUGCUUGCCCUUUGUAAAACUUGACUGUAGGCCGACAAGACCAACAACAGAAUGCGUCAGCUGAAGCGUCAGCUGGAGGAGGCUGAGGAGGAGGUGACCCGAGCCAACGCCUACCGUAGGAAAUUGCAGAGGGAUUUGGACGACGUCACAGAGUCUGCAGACGCGAUGAACCGAGAGGUCAGCAGUCUGAAGAGCAAGCUCAGGCGUGGAGACAUCCAUUUGAACAUCCGCCGCACCAUGAAUCGCACAGGACUGGAUAGCGACGAGGACGUGGAUGGGGCCACCGACACGUCCGAGCCGGCAGCUGAGUGAGAGCAGAAACAAGCAGAGGAAUAUUUUCUGAUCAAAGUUUGAUUGCAACAAUGGAAUGACAAUGUUUAAGAUGCAGUGGCACAUAGUUGCAUACCCUUUCAUGACUUUAUAGAACAGCCUUAUUGAUAUUUCCAAUUUGAUAUUGAUAUUUGGCCAAACGUUCAUAUCAGACUGAAUCUUUUUCUACUAAAAGGGCUUUAUCAUGUGUCGUACCAUGAUGCUUUUGCUGCAAGCUUUUCGUGGACUAGUUCUCACUAGUCAAUGUGUUCUUUUUGCCUACAAUUGUUGGUGCAGGUGGGUCAUAUUUGAUAUCAGAAUAAAUGUACCUCAUCUAUACUGGUGGUGGGUUAAACAUUUAGCAGCAGUUGGCACAUUGGCCUUUGAGGUUGAGUUCUGCAUCAUCAACCCCUCAUCCCUGCCUGCCCAAAAAAGCACAUUACAUAAUUGCCAUUUUAUGGCUGGUCUUUAUACCUUAUCAAAUGCCUUAAUGCAGAAAUAUAUAAAUGUAUAAGAAUAUCUGUAAUAAAAAUAAAAAAAAAUCA